rnacentral:rRNA from 1 species
GCGGACGGGUGAGUAACACGUGGGAACGUGCCUUUAGGUUCGGAAUAGCUCCUGGAAACGGGUGGUAAUGCCGAAUGUGCCCUUCGGGGGAAAGAUUUAUCGCCUUUAGAGCGGCCCGCGUCUGAUUAGCUAGUUGGUGAGGUAAUGGCUCACCAAGGCGACGAUCAGUAGCUGGUCUGAGAGGAUGACCAGCCACAUUGGGACUGAGACACGGCCCAAACUCCUACGGGAGGCAGCAGUGGGGAAUCUUGCGCAAUGGGCGAAAGCCUGACGCAGCCAUGCCGCGUGAAUGAUGAAGGUCUUAGGAUUGUAAAAUUCUUUCACCGGGGACGAUAAUGACGGUACCCGGAGAAGAAGCCCCGGCUAACUUCGUGCCAGCAGCCGCGGUAAUACGAAGGGGGCUAGCGUUGCUCGGAAUUACUGGGCGUAAAGGGCGCGUAGGCGGACAUUUAAGUCAGGGGUGAAAUCCCAGAGCUCAACUCUGGAACUGCCUUUGAUACUGGGUGUCUUGAGUGUGAGAGAGGUAUGUGGAACUCCGAGUGUAGAGGUGAAAUUCGUAGAUAUUCGGAAGAACACCAGUGGCGAAGGCGACAUACUGG